UGUGGCUCAUGAAAACAUGACUGCGAGGCAACGACAAUUAAGAAAAAGGAAUUUAGGAAGACUGGUGGAGAUGAGGAACGAAUGACAGCCAUUGCAGCUUACAUGAAGCUUAAUUGGCAGGGCCUUCAGAAGAAGGUUGUCUUUGUUACUGUUAUUACAGAUCUCAACACCUUCCAUCGCACAUGGUUCAACACUGGUGUCAACCAAUGCUACUGCCCUUCGGACGAGGUUUCCAAGAGGGCGUUGGUUGAUGGCCU